rnacentral:lncRNA from 1 species
AGGGGAGAAGAGGCUCAGGCAUGGCGGGCUGCAGGUCCGGAGCCCUGCCCCGCGGGGAGGCACCUAAGGCCCCGCGAGAAAUCGAGCGCAGCGCCGGUAGGCUGGCACUGCUGGGGGACCCAGCGCACCCUCCUCAGCUGCUGGCCCGGUUGCUAAACCCUGCUGGUCCGGGUGCUAAGCUCCUCAUUGCCCAGGGAGGCGGGGCCCGCCAAACCCACGCCAACCCGGAACUCUAGCUGGCCCGCAAGGGCUACGCGCAGCCCCGGUUCCUGCCCGUGCCUCUCCCUCCGCACUUCCCCUCAGGCUGAGGGAGCUGGCUCCUGCCUCGGCCAUCCCAGGAAGAGGCUCCCACAGUGCAGCGACGGGCUGAAGGGCUCCUCAGGCGCGGCCAGAGUGGGCGCCCAGGCCGAGGAGGCGCCAAGAGCGAGCGAGGGCUGCGACGACUGCCAGCAUGCUGUCACCUCUCACUAUGACUGUCUGGGAUCUGCUUUAUAAAUAAACAAGCUUCCUACAAUUAUCCUCAUCUCAUGGAAAAACUAGACAGAGGAAAAGAAAAGAGGCAAAUGGAGCUUCCUUUGCUAAGAGCUCAAAUAACUCUCCUCUACAUAGUCUUCUUCAAACAAAAACACAAAGCUAAUUUUCCAUUUACUCUUUGAGAGUUCCACAGAAAAACAAAAAAACCAAGUGACAUUAAUUGAUACUGGACACAAUCUGUGAUAUCAGUGAUUAAGUUGGAGUUAUGCAAGUGGAUCAUUUGCCACCAACCAGAAAAUAAGGAUUCCUUUCAAGUGGAUGUGGGAUAUGAAUAUUUUUUGGCACAAGACAGUAGUUCAAUUGGUAAAAAUUUCAUCAAUGGUGACUUUGGAGAAUGUCAUGUUGCAGGUGAAUGUCCUAACCAGGACAAUAUUCAUGCAUUUGAAAAAUCCAGCGUGAGAAACAUAGAAAGGUAAUGAAAUUGACUAAUUAUUACUAAGUUGCAUUUGUGGGACAAUGAAAAUUGAAUACGUUGCAUUUGUGGGAUGAUGAAAAAUUGAGCAUUGUUAACAAAAGCCCAAAUGUAAGUGUAAAAGCCAGAAGGCAUCUUGGGCAGCCUAUAAAGUGUUUUUAUCUUUUGCAAAGAGAGAGAGUGGCCAUAGCUGGAGAGGAAAUUCAGGAUCUGCUGUUUAGGGCCACUGAGCUGCAAAGAUGAUUGGAUGCUCAUAGAGGAAUUUUCUUAGGCUAAGGUCAGAGAUCUGCUUGGGAAAACUUGAGGCAUUAAAAUAUUGGAAGAGGACAUCUGGGUAAAUUUCCCCAAGGAUCUACAACUUGAGAGCCUAAAGAAUUGACCCACCAUUCUCUAUGAAGAGCUAGACAUUUUCUCAUGCAAGAAGAUACUUCAGAGGCCACUUUCACAUAAGAUAAAUGGAAGAAGACCAUCACCAGAGAUGAAUGGACAUUUGAUAUUACCAAGAAUAUGCAUAAUGACUUGGAAGUUACCAUUUGAACAAUUGACAUUCUUGAGCAUCUUAGGUUGGAUUUCCUAGGAACAGAACCUGUGACAGGAAUUCAGGUGGAGCUGUUUUAGGCUGGGUGCUGUGGCCCAGGCCUGGAAUCCCAGCACUUCAGAAGGCCAAGGCAGGAGAAUCGCUUGAGCCCAGGAGUUCAAGAGCAGCCUGGGCAACAUGUUGAAACAUCAUCUCUAUACAAAUAUACGCACAAAAAUUAGCUGGACAUGGUGGUGUGCACCUGUAGUCCUAACUACUCAGGAAGCUGUGGUGGAAGAAUCACUUGAGCCCAGGAGGUCGAGCCUGCAAUAAGCUGUGAUUGCACCACUGCACUCCAGCGUGGAUGACAGAGCAAGACACCCUGUCUCAAAAAAAAGACUAUACAACAGAGCUCUGAAAAAGAUCACACUUUCAGGCUCAAGGAGCUCUCUUGUUCCUUCCACCAUCUGAGAACACAGUGAGAAGUCCCCAGGCUUCAACCUGAAAAAGGGCCCUCAUCAGAACCUGAUCAUCAGAACUUGGCACCCCAAUCUUUGUCUUCUGAUCUACAUUGUGACCUAAGUCAGAACGGGGCCAUAGCAGGCAUAAAAGCAACAAUUUAUCAAACUGCCUGAGGGAAUGAUGUAAAAAAUGCUCAUCAAGAAUAUCCAUCUGGACAGGACAAAAAAUGACGCUGAGAGGACUUUGGAGAGUUUCUACCCAGUUUUCCUAAAUUCCAGGAAGUUUUCUUAGUAGAAAUGAUGAUGACUGAAAGCUACUUCAUUUCUGGGAUACUUGAGACUUCUGGUCUGCAUAUGUGACUGUAGGAAGAAAUAAAUAAUUUAUGUUUUGGAAAAACCCUAAUUACCUAAAGAUGACUCUCAUGGAGUAAAAGGGAAAUGGGCAUUUGUCUUGUUUUCCCAAACUCUUUCAGUACUCAGUGAAUAAAAAUUAAGGUAACAACAUGAAUUCAGAAGGGCUUCUUAUUUGAGCUCUCUUACCUGUGCAGACUUAUAUUAUUGUGUGUGUGACAGGCAUUUUCCUUAUUUUAUUUUAUACAAUGUGUGUGAAUAAAUUUUUAUACAACUUCUUUUAUUAAAGGCAGAGAAUGCUUCAGCUUACCUUUGUAUUAUCUACAUUUUGGAAACAGAAUGAAUAUUCAAAUGUUGAAUUAGCUCGAAU